AGGAGGUCCUGGAGGCCAGGCGGACGCUUCCCGCACUCGAGCUGGUGCUGGUGCCAUGUGGAGCGGAGCCGAGAUUGGCCGGCAGCGAAGCCAGCUGAGCGGGCGCCGAGCUCCCGCCAUGGCCCAGAAUACGCUGUCCUCACGUUUCCGCCGGUUGGACAUCAACGAAUUUGACAAGAACAAAUUUGUGGAUGAGCAGGAGGAGGCGGCGGUGGCAGCAGCAGAGCCAGACCAGGACCCUAGUGAGGUGGACAGGCUCCUGCGGCAGGGGGACGUGCUUCAGGCGUUCCAUGCAGCCUUGCAGAACUCUCCCGUCAACACCAAGAAUCAAGCCGUGAAGGAGCGAGCCCAGGGCAUGGUGCUGAAAGUGCUCACCAAUUUUAAGAGCAGUGAAAUUGAGCAGGCUGUGCAGUCACUGGACAGAAACGGCGUUGACUUGUUACUGAAGUACAUUUAUAAAGGGUUUGAGAAGCCCACAGAAAAUAGCAGUGCAGUGUUACUUCAAUGGCAUGAAAAGGCCUUAGCAGUAGGAGGACUAGCCUCCAUUAUAAGAGUUCUUACAGCAAGAAAGACUGUUUAAAAAAAAAAAAGACUCAUGUUACCUUGAGAAGAAUUGUGGAUGCCCAGGCUGGUGAAGAAGGGAUUGACAAUGGACCAUCCUUCUAGGAACUCCCAACUAAACUAUUUUAGGACAUGUAUCUGCUGAAAUGUAUUUUAUUUUCAGGGUGGAGGGAGAAAUUGUCUUACUGUUUCCUAAAUCCUUUGCAGGAUCUGAUAGUCUAUGCCUUUGUCUACAAGUAAUGCAGAACUGACAUUCUGUCUACUAGAGUGGCUGGCCAGUGUUGGUCAGGUGUACCUAUGUGCACCGGGGGAGGGAUGAUUCAGGCAGGUGCAGAUCCAAGGGCUGUGGUUAAAGGGAGAGUUUGUGUUUUUUGAAGUGGAAAAGACCCAAGAGUUUGUACAGACAUCCUGUCUUCCCAGAGAAGGCAGACACUCUUGGAGUCCUUGUAAAGUGCCUGCUGCAUCAAUAAAGCUCUUGGCUUAUUAGUAAAAAAAAAAA